CAGUGUCGAGGUCGUCCGUAGCCGGCGAAGUUGCCUCGUUCUGCGCCGCCAUGUCCCUCAACCGCAGGCGUAAUCGAGUCUGUUGUCGUCCCUCUCUUCCGCUUAAGGAGCUGGCCUGAUAAAAAUCAGAGAACAAUGGCCAGUGUGCCGAGAAAUGAGCAGCUCUGACACACUCUGGUCGAGAUAGGUUCUUGCUUCGGUGAUUGUGAUCCUAUUCAAUAUGAAAUGCUUAUCUUCUUGUAAGUAACAUCACUCAACAAACUGGCACCUGUUACUACUGUCUAUUAUAGGCUUUCAUUUUGAAUGUCA